GGUUAAGCGACUAAGCGUACACGGUGGAUGCCCUGGCAGUCAGAGGCGAUGAAGGACGUGCUAAUCUGCGAUAAGCGUCGGUAAGGUGAUAUGAACCGUUAUAACCGGCGAUUUCCGAAUGGGGAAACCCAGUGUGUUUCGACACACUAUCAUUAACUGAAUCCAUAGGUUAAUGAGGCGAACCGGGGGAACUGAAACAUCUAAGUACCCCGAGGAAAAGAAAUCAACCGAGAUUCCCCCAGUAGCGGCGAGCGAACGGGGAGCAGCCCAGAGCCUGAAUCAGUGUGUGUGUUAGUGGAAGCGUCUGGAAAGGCGUGCGAUACAGGGUGACAGCCCCGUACACAAAAAUGCACAUGCUGUGAGCUCGAUGAGUAGGGCGGGACACGUGGUAUCCUGUCUGAAUAUGGGGGGACCAUCCUCCAAGGCUAAAUACUCCUGACUGACCGAUAGUGAACCAGUACCGUGAGGGAAAGGCGAAAAGAACCCCGGCGAGGGGAGUGAAAAAGAACCUGAAACCGUGUACGUACAAGCAGUGGGAGCACGCUUAGGCGUGUGACUGCGUACCUUUUGUAUAAUGGGUCAGCGACUUAUAUUCUGUAGCAAGGUUAACCGAAUAGGGGAGCCGAAGGGAAACCGAGUCUUAACUGGGCGUUAAGUUGCAGGGUAUAGACCCGAAACCCGGUGAUCUAGCCAUGGGCAGGUUGAAGGUUGGGUAACACUAACUGGAGGACCGAACCGACUAAUGUUGAAAAAUUAGCGGAUGACUUGUGGCUGGGGGUGAAAGGCCAAUCAAACCGGGAGAUAGCUGGUUCUCCCCGAAAGCUAUUUAGGUAGCGCCUCGUGAAUUCAUCUCCGGGGGUAGAGCACUGUUUCGGCAAGGGGGUCAUCCCGACUUACCAACCCGAUGCAAACUGCGAAUACCGGAGAAUGUUAUCACGGGAGACACACGGCGGGUGCUAACGUCCGUCGUGAAGAGGGAAACAACCCAGACCGCCAGCUAAGGUCCCAAAGUCAUGGUUAAGUGGGAAACGAUGUGGGAAGGCCCAGACAGCCAGGAUGUUGGCUUAGAAGCAGCCAUCAUUUAAAGAAAGCGUAAUAGCUCACUGGUCGAGUCGGCCUGCGCGGAAGAUGUAACGGGGCUAAACCAUGCACCGAAGCUGCGGCAGCGACGCUGAUGCGUUGUUGGGUAGGGGAGCGUUCUGUAAGCCUGCGAAGGUGUGCUGUGAGGCAUGCUGGAGGUAUCAGAAGUGCGAAUGCUGACAUAAGUAACGAUAAAGCGGGUGAAAAGCCCGCUCGCCGGAAGACCAAGGGUUCCUGUCCAACGUUAAUCGGGGCAGGGUGAGUCGACCCCUAAGGCGAGGCCGAAAGGCGUAGUCGAUGGGAAACAGGUUAAUAUUCCUGUACUUGGUGUUACUGCGAAGGGGGGACGGAGAAGGCUAUGUUGGCCGGGCGACGGUUGUCCCGGUUUAAGCGUGUAGGCUGGUUUUCCAGGCAAAUCCGGAAAAUCAAGGCUGAGGCGUGAUGACGAGGCACUACGGUGCUGAAGCAACAAAUGCCCUGCUUCCAGGAAAAGCCUCUAAGCAUCAGGUAACAUCAAAUCGUACCCCAAACCGACACAGGUGGUCAGGUAGAGAAUACCAAGGCGCUUGAGAGAACUCGGGUGAAGGAACUAGGCAAAAUGGUGCCGUAACUUCGGGAGAAGGCACGCUGAUAUGUAGGUGAAGUCCCUUGCGGAUGGAGCUGAAAUCAGUCGAAGAUACCAGCUGGCUGCAACUGUUUAUUAAAAACACAGCACUGUGCAAACACGAAAGUGGACGUAUACGGUGUGACGCCUGCCCGGUGCCGGAAGGUUAAUUGAUGGGGUUAGCGCAAGCGAAGCUCUUGAUCGAAGCCCCGGUAAACGGCGGCCGUAACUAUAACGGUCCUAAGGUAGCGAAAUUCCUUGUCGGGUAAGUUCCGACCUGCACGAAUGGCGUAAUGAUGGCCAGGCUGUCUCCACCCGAGACUCAGUGAAAUUGAACUCGCUGUGAAGAUGCAGUGUACCCGCGGCAAGACGGAAAGACCCCGUGAACCUUUACUAUAGCUUGACACUGAACAUUGAGCCUUGAUGUGUAGGAUAGGUGGGAGGCUUGGAAGUGUGGACGCCAGUCUGCAUGGAGCCGACCUUGAAAUACCACCCUUUAAUGUUUGAUGUUCUAACGUUGACCCGUAAUCCGGGUUGCGGACAGUGUCUGGUGGGUAGUUUGACUGGGGCGGUCUCCUCCUAAAGAGUAACGGAGGAGCACGAAGGUUGGCUAAUCCUGGUCGGACAUCAGGAGGUUAGUGCAAUGGCAUAAGCCAGCUUGACUGCGAGCGUGACGGCGCGAGCAGGUGCGAAAGCAGGUCAUAGUGAUCCGGUGGUUCUGAAUGGAAGGGCCAUCGCUCAACGGAUAAAAGGUACUCCGGGGAUAACAGGCUGAUACCGCCCAAGAGUUCAUAUCGACGGCGGUGUUUGGCACCUCGAUGUCGGCUCAUCACAUCCUGGGGCUGAAGUAGGUCCCAAGGGUAUGGCUGUUCGCCAUUUAAAGUGGUACGCGAGCUGGGUUUAGAACGUCGUGAGACAGUUCGGUCCCUAUCUGCCGUGGGCGCUGGAGAACUGAGGGGGGCUGCUCCUAGUACGAGAGGACCGGAGUGGACGCAUCACUGGUGUUCGGGUUGUCAUGCCAAUGGCACUGCCCGGUAGCUAAAUGCGGAAGAGAUAAGUGCUGAAAGCAUCUAAGCACGAAACUUGCCCCGAGAUGAGUUCUCCCUGACCCUUUAAGGGUCCUGAAGGAACGUUGAAGACGACGACGUUGAUAGGCCGGGUGUGUAAGCGCAGCGAUGCGUUGAGCUAACCGGUACUAAUGAACCGUGAGGCUUAACCUU
rnacentral:rRNA from 1 species